rnacentral:misc_RNA from 1 species
UCCGAGUUGACCCCGGCGGUCUCCCACGAGUCCCCACCAUUACGUGCUGGCAACGUAGGACAAGGGUUGCGCUCGUUGCGGGACUUAACCCAACAUCUCACGACACGAGCUGACGACAGCCAUGCAGCACCUGUCUUGGAGCUCCGAAGAGGGGCCGUGGUUCCUUACGGCUUUCCCCAAGAUGUCAAGCCCAGGUAAGGUUCUUCGCGUUGCGUCGAAUUAAACCACAUGCUCCGCUGCUUGUGCGGGUCCCCGUCAAUUCCUUUGAGUUUUAGCCUUGCGGCCGUACUCCCCAGGCGGGGCACUUAAUGCGUUAGCGUCGGCACGGGAGGAGUCGACACCUCCCACACCUAGUGCCCAUCGUUUACGGCGUGGACUAC